UGUAGGCAUGUUUUAUACUUUAAAUGACUUUGACCAUGUGCGUUUUGAACUCAGAUGAUUCUAGGAAAACAGACCAGUCAUCAGCCUAUGUAAGAACAACCAGCAGGACAUUGCAACACGUACUAGGUGCUUAAUAUGUUGAGUAACAGAAAUGGAUUUAGCUUACAUCAUGAGUAUUUGUAUAUUAACUCAAGCACUGAAAUUCUUAGGAAUAAGAUAUUACUGUUGUGACCGAAGCUGGGAACCACUGUUUCAGAGUUUCAGGAAUGUGGCAUCUCUAUUUGCAGGUGAAUCAAAAACUCUGGUUUUAAGCAACCUCUCCUACAGUGCAACAGAAGAAACUCUUCAGGAAGUAUUUGAGAAAGCAACUUUUAUCAAAGUACCCCAGAACCAAAAUGGCAAAUCUAAAGGGUAUGCAUUUAUAGAGUUUGCUUCAUUCGAAGACGCUAAAGAAGCUUUAAAUUCCUGUAAUAAAAGGGAAAUUGAGGGCAGAGCAAUCAGGCUGGAGUUGCAAGGACCCAGGGGAUCCCCUAAUGCCAGAAGCCAGCCAUCCAAAACUCUGUUUGUCAAAGGCCUGUCUGAGGAUACCACUGAAGAGACAUUAAAGGAGUCAUUUGACGGCUCCGUUCGGGCAAGGAUAGUUACUGACCGGGAAACUGGGUCCUCCAAAGG
rnacentral:sRNA from 1 species